AUUGAACGCUGGCGGCAGGCUUAACACAUGCAAGUCGAGCGGGGUGAUGGUGCUUGCACUAUCACUUAGCGGCGGACGGGUGAGUAAUGCUUAGGAAUCUGCCUAUUAGUGGGGGACAACAUCUCGAAAGGGAUGCUAAUACCGCAUACGUCCUACGGGAGAAAGCAGGGGAUCACUUGUGACCUUGCGCUAAUAGAUGAGCCUAAGGCGGAUUAGCUAGUUGGUGGGGUAAAGGCCUACCAAGGCGACGAUCUGUAGCGGGUCUGAGAGGAUGAUCCGCCACACUGGGACCGAGACACGGCCCAGACUCCUACGGGAGGCAGCAGUGGGGAAUAUUGGACAAUGGGGGGAACCCUGAUCCAGCCAUGCCGCGUGUGUGAAGGAGGCCUUAUGGUUGUAAAGCACUUUAAGCGAGGAGGAGGCUCUUUUGGUUAAUACCCAAGAUGAGUGGACGUUACUCGCAGAAUAAGCACCGGCUAACUCUGUGCCAGCCGCCGCAGUAA
rnacentral:rRNA from 1 species